UUGCUUUUUUUUGUUUGAUGGUGUUAAAAAGAUUCCAUAGAUACUUUUUAGAUAUCCUUCAGUGAAAUUAAUACAGCUGAAACUGAGUAUUUUUGUAGUUUCUUUUACUCAAUUUGCAAGAGUUUUUCAACUUUAGUUUCAACAGCUGCAUUCUUGUUUAUCAAACAUGAGUGAAUCUUUUUUAAGGUUGUGAUAACCUAGUGGAGGUUGAAAGGUUAACGUACUUCGACAGCACUGGUCAUUGGCACACAAAAACAAUCAUAUAAUACAUAAGUUAAAUUAAGGACUCUAUAUCUAUUACAAGACAUAAAUCUCGCUAAAACUCGAGCACGGCUGGACCGAUUUGGCUACUUUUGGUCUUGAAUUAUUUAUGGAAGUCCAGAGAUGGUUUAAAAGGUGAUUAAAUAUGAAAAUGCUCGGAAUUGAAUAAAAACACAAACACAACUUAAGAGUUGUAGUCACCGCGCAAUCGACAUCGGAUUCAGUUUUGGAGGUAUUUAUAUAAAAUUUCAAUUUAAUUGGAAUAGAACAAGCUGAUUAUCUCGAUUGAUUGUAAUAACAAUGAUUCAAAAUGUCUUUCAUUAAAUAUUGGAAAAAAAGCUAAUAAAAAAUAAAAAAAAAGGAGACAGUUAAAAUAAUAUAUAAAAAAUAUAUUUCGUUCAAUUAAAUCAAAAAAAGUUUAAUUGUCUAUUAGUAAA